rnacentral:rRNA from 1 species
GACGAACCGUACGAACGUUAUUCGGAAUCACUGGCUUAAAGGGUGCGUAGGCGGCGCGACAAGUUGGGUGUGAAAUCCCUCGGCUCAACCGAGGAACUGCGCCCAAAACUGUCGGUGCUCGAGGGAGACAGAGGUGAGCGGAACUUAGGGUGGAGCGGUGAAAUGCGUUGAUAUCCUAAGGAACACCGGUGGCGAAAGCGGCUCACUGGGUCUCUGCUGACGCUGAGGCACGAAAGCUAGGGUAGCGAACGGG